GGCACCGACUAUAUUUUGACUUUCACUGUAAAAGUCAGAGAAUCGACUUUAUCUCGGUACAGAAUAUAUUUCGGCUUUCACUGUAAAAGCCAAACUAUUGACUGUCUCGAUGCAAAAUAUACCUCAGUUUUUCACUGUAAAAACCGACUUCAACUACACUUUGGCUUUCACUGUAAAAGCCAUAAUACCAACUAUAUCUCGGUACCAAACAUAUUUCAUCUUUCUACUAAAAAGCCGAUUAUGCUGACUUAGUCUUAAUUAAGUGGAAUGCUAUACCAAUACGA
rnacentral:lncRNA from 1 species